rnacentral:lncRNA from 1 species
GGUGCAGAGAUUCAGUCCAUUAUCAUCAAGGUGGGAGCAUGACAGUGUCCAGAAAGGCAUGGUGCAGGCUGAGCUGAGAGUCCUACAUCUUCAUCUGAAGGCUGCUAGCAGGAUAUUGGCUUCUAGGCUGGUAGGAUGAGGGUCUUAUAACCCACACAUACAGUGACACACCAGCUAAGAGGAAACACAGACACACACACACAUGCAUGUGUACCCAUCACAUUUGCUUCCUUGAAAACUGGCAUUUACAUUCAUCUCCUCAAACCAUAAUAGUCAGACAAAAACAACAAUAUUAUAAGUACGUGUAUCAUGAUCACUGCAUGUUUGGUGUUCUGCCAACAUCCUAUGACUUGAAUGCUUGGAUGUAAAAUUAACAACACUUGUGUGCCAACAGCACCAUGACAUCUUAUUUUGGAUGAUGUAAGCAUGUGCAAGAAAAGCAAGCAGAUGUGAAUAUACAAGUGUAUAAAUUGACAUAGAUAGCUUACAGAGUGAGUCUGUGAUAUCAAUUAGUUUUUAAUGCCCAAAUGUAGAACUUUUAUUAAUAUACAAAAGCAAUGGGAAAGUGAUAGCUUGUGGGCUCUUAGUGGACUCUAAGGACCUUGCCAAAAUACCUGAUGACUCUAGUUUAUUAUUCAGAAACCACAUGGUGGGAGAAAAGGACACUUACAUAACCUGUUCCCUGACCCUCUCUCUCUCUCUCUCUCUCUCUCUCUCACACACACACACACACACACACACGUUACAUGAUUCACAUGUGUGUACAUGUAAUCACACAAAUAAAUGCAUGUAAUAGUUAUUUAGAAAAGCUACAUGUUGUUUAACCUCAGUAAACUGAUAGAAAAAGAAUCAAGUCAAUACAUUACUACAUAAUAAAAUUGUUUAAAGGUGUGCCUUUAUCCUGACUCAAAAUAUGUUUUUAUGUUUUAUGCAUACAUUUUAUCAAUUCAUUUUUCAGAAAAAUACAAAGAUUUAUUUUUAUUUUAUGCAGUGCUCUU